CAGCAGCCGCGGGAAUACAGAGGGUGCGAGCGUUAAUCGGAUUUACUGGGCGUAAAGCGUGCGUAGGCGGCUUCUUAAGUCGGAUGUGAAAUCCCUGAGCUUAACUUAGGAAUUGCAUUUGAUACUGGGAAGCUAGAGUAUGGGAGAGGAUGGUAGAAUUCCAGGUGUAGCGGUGAAAUGCGUAGAGAUCUGGAGGAAUACCGAUGGCGAAGGCAGCCAUCUGGCCUAAUACUGACGCUGAGGUACGAAAGCAUGGGGAGCAAACAGGAUUAGAUACCCCGGUAGUCCCUGUCUCUUAUAC
rnacentral:rRNA from 1 species